rnacentral:rRNA from 1 species
UACAGAGGUGGCAAGCGUUGUUCGGAAUUACUGGGCGUAAAGCGCGUGUAGGCGGCUCUUCAAGUCAGGCGUGAAAGCCCCGGGCUCAACUCGGGAACUGCGCUUGAUAAUGUCGAGCUAGAGUGUGGAAGGGGCGAUUGGAAUUCCGUGUGUAGCGGUGAAAUGCGUAGAUAUACGGAGGAACACCAGAGGCGAAGGCGGAUCGCUGGGCCAACACUGACGCUGAGACGCGAAAGCUAGGGUAGCAAACGGG